CCUACGGGCGGCAGCAGUGGGGAAUAUUGGACAAUGGGGGCAACCCUGAUCCAGCCAUGCCGCGUGUGUGAAGAAGGCCCUCGGGUUGUAAAGCACUUUCAGUGAGGAAGAACGCCUGGUGGUUAAUACCCAUCAGGAAAGACAUCACUCACAGAAGAAGCACCGGCUAACUCCGUGCCAGCAGCCGCGGUAAUACGGAGGGUGCGAGCGUUAAUCGGAAUUACUGGGCGUAAAGCGCGCGUAGGUGGCUUGAUAAGCCGGUUGUGAAAGCCCCGGGCUCAACCUGGGAACGGCAUCCGGAACUGUCAAGCUAGAGUGCAGGAGAGGAAGGUAGAAUUCCCGGUGUAGCGGUGAAAUGCGUAGAGAUCGGGAGGAAUACCAGUGGCGAAGGCGGCCUUCUGGACUGACACUGACACUGAGGUGCGAAAGCGUGGGUAGCAAACAGGAUUUAGAUACCCUUGUAGUC
rnacentral:rRNA from 1 species